GCUAGGUAAGGUGCGGCAGACGGGGUGAUACGGAGUGGUGUAGGGGUGUCCGGGUUGAUUGGGGGUAAGGAGCGGGUAGGCGGCUUGGUAUGUCCGCGGUGAAAACGCUAGGAUCAACAGCGGGAAGCAGGUGGAAACCAUCAGGGUAGGGUCCGGAAGAGGAGAGUGGAAUUCCUGGUGUAGCGGUGAAAUGCGCAGAUAUCAGGAAGAACACCCGUGGCUAAGGCGGCUCUCUAGUACGGUACUGACGCUGAGACGCGAAAGCGUGGGGAGCGAACAGGAUUAGAUACCCCGGUAGUC
rnacentral:rRNA from 1 species